CUUAGAUUGCUGUCAAAGAAGGAGAUCGUUGAAGGAGCCUGGUCUGCCAUACAGCCCAAAUACAUGGUCUUCCAUACAGCCCAUAUCAGUAGCUCCGGGAGAGAAACCUCUUGUGCAUGAAUCUCAUAGCAGACAGGAACCAGAAACUCCUUCUGAUUUUGUCGGCAGAGGAGCCUUGAGCCAGCCCUGUGGACCUGUGUGUUCAGAUUGCAAUGAAGACAACAGCACCCAGGCACCAGAUUUAUUCUUCUUUCCAAGCUUGACCCAAGAAUUGAGAGCUACAGGAAGGCAAGGCUAAGGAAAACAACUCUAAUCAGAAUUCUUCAGGUAGGGUUUUGGUUGAUGUAUUGCAACUACAGAGAAGAAAACAGAAGAACCUCUUAAGUUAGAAACUACUGAUAAUCCAAGUGACCAGGAAAUAGUUAAGAAACCAACACUGCAUUUAUCUCAGGAUUAAAAGCUGCCCUUCUGAGGAGGUUAAAGAUACUUCUUCAACUGCAACACUUAGAAAAAAAAAGACAUACCAAGAAAUUAAUUUUCUCUUCCCUUUGAAAGCGUUCCCAUCUUCACUGUCUAUGAGUCUCUUUUAUACCUGAGGGAAAAGAGUGCUUUAGCUGUGCUUUGGUAAUCCUUAGAUUCAUCAUAAUUACAAAGAGUUUAAAAAGAAAAACAUGGUGACUUGCUCUUACAUACAAAAAUUAGAACUGGUGUGAGAGCUCACCCACAGCAUUACUACUGGGCUCUCAGCUGACUUCGUCCUCCAGUUGAGGCCACAUCCCCUUCUCUCUCAUCAAGGUAAGGGAAACACUGACAAAAAGGAAGAUGGAGAAAAAAGAGAGAAGGG
rnacentral:lncRNA from 1 species